UGAGAAGCCGCACUCAGGAAUUUCUCUUCAGUUCGUACCCGUACCUACCCGUACCCAUCCAGCCACCAUGGAAUCUCAAUCGAAUUUUGGAAAAGGGCGGAACACGAACGCAGACGUCCGAAGGUUGCACGAGCUAAAGCGAGAGAAGGAGGAGGAACAUCGUCGAGCGACAGAGAAAGACAAGAAAUUGGCUGAAAUGAUUUCAAAGUUAGAAGAAGAGAUUAGCCGCAAAGAGUCAUUGGACGGACAGGUCAUUACUUUAACGGACAAUUUGAGCAUCUCUGGGGAUGCACCGAUGCAGAUGGUGCAAAAACUAUGUCAAUUGGGAGUGGACGCUCAAAAAUAGGUAGAAAAUCCCGAGGAUGUUUGGCUAAAACAAUUUGAAAAGGACUUGUUUCAAGCCAUACGCGAGAUAGUCCUGCAUUUUGAUCAAUUUGACAUAGAGUAAACGUCCUCAAGACUUUUUAGCCUGAUUUACAAGCGAACUUCUUGUUGGUUUUGAAUUUGAACAUGCCGUGACCUACCUCUCCUCUAAUGCAAAAUAAAUACGAACUUUUUUCUCUCUAUAAAA